rnacentral:rRNA from 1 species
UCCGUAGGUGAACCUGCGGAAGGAUCAUUAAAGAGACGUUGCCCUUCGGGUAUACCUCCCACCCAUUGUUUAUUAUACCUUUGUUGCUUUGGCAGACCCGGCUUCGGCCCACCGGCUCCGGCUGGUCAGUGUCUGCCAGAGGACCUAAAACUCUGUUUGUUAAUAUUGUCUGAGUACUAUAUAAUAGUUAAAACUUUCAACAACGGAUCUCUUGGUUCUGGCAUCGAUGAAGAACGCAGCGAAAUGCGAUAAGUAAUGUGAAUUGCAGAAUUCAGUGAAUCAUCGAAUCUUUGAACGCACAUUGCGCCCUCUGGUAUUCCGGGGGCAGUGCCUGCUUCGAGCGUCAUUACAACCCUCAAGCUUUGCUUGGUGUUGGGUGUUUGUCCUUGCCUUUGUGUUUGGACUCGCCUUAAAUUCAUUGGCAGCCAGUGUAUUGGUUUGAAGCGCAGCACAAUUUGCGGUUUUGACUGAUUUAUCAUUCGCGUCCAUAAAGCACAAUUAACACUUUUGACCUCGGAUCAAGUAGGGAUACCCGCUGAACUUAAGCAUAUCAAUAAGCGGAGGGAAGUCGGACUGGCCAAGGGGCACACCAGGGGGGGGGGAUA